rnacentral:rRNA from 1 species
GGGGAAUAUUGGACAAUGGGCGCAAGCCUGAUCCAGCCAUGCCGCGUGAGUGAUGAAGGCCCUAGGGUUGUAAAGCUCUUUCACCGGUGAAGAUAAUGGCGGUAACCGGAGAAGAAGCCCCGGCUAACUUCGUGCCAGCAGCCGCGGUAAUACGAAGGGGGCUAGCGUUGUUCGGAAUUACUGGGCGUAAAGCGCACGUAGGCGGAUUGUUAAGUUAGGGGUGAAAUCCCAGGGCUCAACCCUGGAACUGCCUUUAAUACUGGCAAUCUAGAGUCCGAGAGAGGUGAGUGGAAUUCCGAGUGUAGAGGUGAAAUUCGUAGAUAUUCGGAGGAACACCAGUGGCGAAGGCGGCUCACUGGCUCGGUACUGACGCUGAGGUGCGAAAGCGUGGGGAGCAAAC